AAAAUAACCGAGUGAGAUGUUCCCCGGAGCCAAAGUUCCAUCUGCGCUUCCUUGGAGCCGCCUCCCAGUUACGCAUUCACUCAGGUCUCUCAUCACCCCAUCCAAGCCCCUCAUCUGUCCCUGGAAGGCAGGGACUUCCCAGCCGGUCCAUCAAUACCUGCUCUUCCCCCUUUAAUGAAGAUAAUGGUGGAGCAAUACAGGUAAGCUCCAGUUUGCCUGCGUUGAAAUACCGCUCCGCUUCAAGCUAAAGUAUCUAUCAAGUACCUUCAAGCUUCAGUACCUAUUGGACUCAUUAACCCCCGGGCCUUAGUGUUCCCAUCUAUAAAACAGGUCUAACAAUAACACCUUUAAAAACACCUUCACAAAACUAUGAGACCUGGGUGAAGGGUCACUGCACGGGGCUGCAAGACCCGAGGCCUUAACCUGCGGCAACCUUUUAGGGAUGUAGGAACUCAGAUCGCACACCAAAAUCUGAAAUCCCAGGAGAAGAGUUUUAUUUGGGGGAAUGGAGCACCUGUCACAAAGGAAGCUACUUCUGUCUUCACUGCGUGUAGCACUGUCUUUUAAAUGCUCACAGUCAAGCUGGCCAUACACCUUAAAGGUCAAACCUUGCAGAAGAAGUCACUAGCCAGAUCAUCGGUCAGUGACAGAAAGUAACAAGCAACUCUGUGAACCCAGGAGGUGACAGGCUCACAAGCCACAGAGGAGCUAUUUUACCGACUGCAGAAGAACAUUCUGUUCACAGAGCACAGGAAAAGGGGUACUGGGCCCCAGUCCCCGAGUGGCCCGAAAGGCAUGCCUGUCUCAUGUAGGCCUCCUUCCAGGAGAAGCGUCCACAAACGGAGUCCCUGGGGCUCCGAGCGGUGCUGGGCUGCAGUACAGGCUCAGGAGACGUGAGCUGCUGUUCUCCCUUCCUCCCUCUCCGCCUUCCUUGCAUGCCAGGCCUGAGCUGCGGUACCACUGAGCUCCACCCCCAGCCUGCUGUUUCUUACUGCCUCUGCAAUCCCGUCUCCAUGAAGGGUUCAAGCAGAUAUAUUUAGACAGAAAUAUGAUCAUGCCUGAUUAUGCUGCAGAUCCUUCCCACAUUCCUAAAGAUAGCGACCCGAAUCUCCAGGCAGCCUUCCCGACGGUCCUGCCCAACGGUCACUGUCCCACUGGAGUUGACUCCCCUCCUUGGAACAGGUCCUCACCGCCGUCCUUGGGCCCCCUGGCUGACUCACGGCCCUGGAACGUGGCCAGCAGGGACGUGUGCCGCUCGUGGGUUUGAAAAGAAGAGGGUACAGGUUGUCAUCCUCCUGCGGGCCGCAGGGCCUCCCUGCCCCAGCGUGGAACCAGGAGCUGAGACACCUAAUCAAGUUCGAAUUUUGAGCGCUGAUCUGAGCAUUUUCGCUCUGGAGUCCCCUCCUCGGGCGGCCGGGGCCCCACCACCUGAGCCCAGGAGGGCAAGUUGUCCCUAAACUGUGAAGAUAAUUCUCAGCGUCUCCCUCCUCCAGAGGAGUUCUGCAAGCCUCGGGCCUCAUCGCCCCUGCAGACGGCAAACGUCGUCUGGGGCCCAAGGACAGAGAUGGCGCUGAACUCCAGAAAAUGUCCAGUUUGCCCACUGCACCCAGAGCCACAGCCAGUUCAGGACAUGCCUGGUCCAGCGAAGCCCGGAGCAGGGCUGGUGAUUUGGAGCUGGACGGGUACCCAGCGGCUGCCCAACCUCAGGUCUGCCCCUCACAUUCAGAGGCCAGGACGUGAAUGGGCCCGAGGAAGCGAGCUCAGGGAAGCUGGGGAGAAUCCACAGCUUGGCUCCGCCUCUCCUGCAUCCUGGUGUCUGUGGCAGCCGCCUUGCCUUCCGGGGAGUUGCAGCUUGGGCUGCUCUCUGCAGGGAGCCUGGGGGCCUCCCUCUGCUGUCACCCGCAGGUGAGGGGCCCAGUUCCACCGAGCGCAGGAGUGGGUCUCCGCAGCUGCCCGGCUGGGGGUCUUGGGACGCGCUCAUCUGCUGAGCAUCCUCUGAGGCGCUGCUCUGCCGCUCUUCACGUGAGCAGAGAUGUCUGGUGCUCACCUGAAAAACUAGUGUGUGCUUUCCCUUUCCUGGGCUCGUGGACUUCCUGGGAAGUGACGUCCACCAGGGACUGUUUUCCCAGUCUCCCUUGCACCCACGUGUGAGCCCCCUUAUUACCAAGGACGGUGCGUGUCCCCUCGGGUCAGCAGGCGGGUGGAUGUCCUCUCGCUCUCCUGCUCUUUCUGUUGGCUGGAAGCAGAGGUCAUCUUCCUCCAGGAGGAUGGCGGGACCUGUCCACGGGGGACACUGGUGUUCCCUGGAAGGGAAAUUCAGAUUCCACCCAGGACAGUAUGCAUUUGUGGGAGCCCCUGGGGCCUGAGGGUUAACUCACUGCCUUGGCCAGUGUUACCCUAAUUCACCCUAAAUCUGACGCCCUGGCCGAGGUCAAGUCAUUUGUGACUGGCUGCUUGAGUUUGUCUCCCUGGGUGGUUCAGGAAUGCCCUUGAGGGCAGUGUCUGUAGUAUUUUGCUCGCUCCUGAUUUUUUGUGUGUGUGCGCUUCACCACUGAGCCACAUCCUGAGCCCUGUUUGUGCUUUAUUAAGAGAUGGGGUCUCGUUAUGUUGCCGAGGCUGGCCUUGAACUCAGGAUCUUCCCGUAUCAGCCUCCUGAGCCGCUGAGACUACAGGUGUGCGCCGGCACGCCCCGCCACUCACUCCUGAAUUUCAGACACCGAAGGUGUAACAGGCAACUGACAAAUGUUGGCUGUGUGGCUUCCGAGGAAAGGGGACUCCCAAGUCCACAUUUGUGGAAGUUCAUGGGGAAGUGACUGGCCCCAGUCAUCGCCACCAUGCCGUUCUUUGGACUUGACGGAUGUACUGUGGUUCUGUAAAAUGGGAACAUGCGGGGAGACGGAUGGGGGCAUACGGGAACUCUCCACUUCUUGGCAACUUUUCAGCAAAUCUAAAAUUAUUCCCAGUAAGAAAUUUGUUUAAAAAAUAAGGUGGUGAAGCCGGGUGUGCUGGUUCGUGCCAGCUGCUCGGGGGUGCAGACGACUCUUGCACACACUCAUUGCGUUUCCUUCCCUCACGUCCCCGGAAGCAGGAUUGCUGGCUCACAUGGCAGAUCUGGCUUUAACUGUUUGAGGAACUUCUAUAGUUUUCCGUGGUGACUGAACAUUCUUCAGUCACCCCAGAGUGUGCAAGGGACCCAGUUCUUCUACGUCCCUGCCAGCACCUGUCCUUUUAAUAAGAUUAUACCUGCACUAGGACACCUUCCAGGGGCAGAAUGUCCUGACCAAUCGGGACAAAGGCCAGCCUUGUCAAAUGCAGCUCACCAGGGGUGCCUUUCCCACGCUGAACACGAGGACAUGCCAGCUUUUGGGGACUUCCUCUUGCCCAGGACCGACGGUCGCUCUCUGUGAAGCUGGGUGGGACAUCAAGUCAGUCUGUGGCAGGGCCUGUGUUCUGCCUUGUCCCCUAGUUUUACAGUGAGGCCACGUGUCAGGGGACGCUCAGCACAUCCAAGCACAGGGUCAGAAAGGUCCCAGGAAGCCGAGGCCUCCCUCUGUCCCUGUGGGAAGAGAGGAAAGGAGGCAGCGACCUCCUCCUCUUUCUGUGAUGUAGAAACCCCACGGGGGCCCAGUCAGCGCAUCCUGUCCCCUGUGUCUGCUGCAGGGCCCCAGCUCCAGGCAGGGAGGCCGCAGGAGCCUGCCAUGGCCCCCCGCACCUCCGCCCUCCUGGCCCUUGGUGAGUCCUGGCGGGGGGACUGGAAGUUGAGAGGUGACCGGGGGGGAACAAGUCCCCUCCCUGCAGAGGCCUGACCCCAGCCAGCCCAGGACACGCUGGGACCCUCCCCUGAGGCUGCCCCUCACCUCUGCCCAGGCUCAGAGUGUCCAGGGAGGACUGGCUCCUAGAAGCAGGGACCUGGGUGUGGGGACGUGUCCAGCUUUGGGAAGGACGAGGGAGCAGAGAACCUCUUGGAAGGGGAGGCCUGGGAGGUGUGGGAACCUCAGAGCAGGAGGAAGGUCAGACACGCUGAGGCGGAGGAUGGUGUGGGAAGCACGGGAGGCUGAGGCCCAGGUCCACCAAGCCCCGCUGACCCAGCUGCGCAGGGAACCCGGACGCUUCUCACUGGGCUCCCCUUCCAGGGCUCUGCCUGGGCCAGGCGGUCCACACCAGGAGGGUGAGUGUCCAGGCCCCUGCCUUCUCCCCUCUGCUGGCCCUGUGGGCGGGGGCAGGAACGACACCCGUCCCAGUCUCAGCCAGGUGCCCCUCGUCCCAGGGAGCAUGGCGCCACCUCCCCUGUGCCCUCUUUUCCUGACCUGCCCAAGGACACUUGUGCCGGGUCACAGCUGGACCUGGACAGGGACCCACCCGCCCGUCCUCCCUUCCUCGAGGCCACGUCUGUGCUUCUCCUGCUCCUGAACUGUCAGCACACACAGAGCGGCUCUGA